CUUGUAACUUUGUUCAAGUAAUCAAAACACCAUCUUACUUGUAGUAUUACACUACAAAAUCGUUCUUGUGUUCACACAAACAAAGACUUCCGCUGCGAAACAUAACCAAAACCAACCACAAGGCUGAACUUAGAAGCAUUCUAAGUACCGCACAAGAGUUCGAGAAUCACUUUGUGACAUCGAGCUAGGUUUGAACUUUAAAUGAGUCGGCUAAAAUUUCAAACUGAGCUACUUGAGUUCUCUUAGAUUGGCUUAGUUUUGACGCAGUCAACUUGUAAAAACAUAAAAGAAAGCAAAAGUGUUGAUGGAAGUAAAACUAAACAAUGAUGAAGUGUUAAAUUUCAUAUUUUUUUCAAUGUCUUUUACUUUAGGCUACAAAAUGUUAAAAGAAAAACCUAAUUUAAACGAACCAGAUGAGCAAGCCAACCUUGGUUUGAGAUCAUCUUAUUUCCAAACUAAACAUUUAUUUUCCGAGCUUCUCUCUAGUGAUCUUUGAGCCACAAGAUACCUUAUCAGUCUGUGUACGACUGAACAUUAAAGUCAACGUGCUUCUUCCCUUUCACGUGCAAUGCACAUGAGCAACACAAACAUCCAACGGCCCCUUUCAGGAUCUCAAAUAAUAAUAUAUAAAUAUAAACCCCAAUUCGACUGUUACAAGCUUUUCCUAACAAAAAAAAUCCCCAAUCCUCAAUUCUCUCAAAUCACUCAGAACCUCAAGAUCUCAUUCUGAGGAUCGUUUUCGUCUCGAUGAACGCUCCGACCGGCUGCCUAGAUCCUAAUAUCACAUGCGGAAUCCGUGUAGUAGGUAGACAUAAUCACAAAGAUACCGUUGAAUGAUAUUUUCAUUAAAUUAAAACACUUUACAGGUCCUGGAAAAGAUUUGACAGAGUUUCCCCACUAUGUCAAAAGUUCUACAAAUCAAGACCCCAACACUCCUAUAUAUAGGCAUUUCCCAUCUGUGCUAACCUAGGAGCGGAUCUACUAGAUCCGCGCGAACCAACAACCUAUGUCCAUCCGCGCAGAUGGACUCCAUCCGUGCGAAUGGACACUUACAUCAAAACACCGUUUGGUUCGACAUGGAAUACAUACAAUUACAUAUCAUAAAUUGUAAACUAAGACUCGAUACAAGACGGAAGCUACAGACAUAUGCAUUCACACUUAAUCAAUCCAACAACAAAAAUGGAUUCGAAUGAAAGAAGAAAGAGCGGGAUCUAUCUCCUAGCUGGGAUGUCAGAAACGUGCAUUGCUUUAGUGAUUAGGUUUUGGAUGCACCAUCCCUUCAAGACGACUAUUACUUGAAUCUUGUGGAUUGGUCAUCACAAAAUGUACUUGCGGUUGGACUCGGAAGCUGUGUCUAUUUAUGGACCUCAACAACCAGCAAAGUGAGUUUAUUGACCUGCUUCAGAACUAAAACAGGUGUUAUGUUUACCAUGCUUUAACCAACAUUGACCAAGUUGUGUGAUUUGUGUCCAAACGACGAGGUGUGCUCCGUUCAAUGGGGUCUUACAUAUCGGUCGGUACUAGUCUUGGAAAAGUUCAGGUUUGGGUUGGGACACAGUGCAAUAGGAAGGGUUCAGACCAUGGACGAACACCAAACAAGAACGGGUGUGUGUGUUAGCAUGGAGAUCACGAAUAUUAUCCUCCGGAAGCAGAGAUUGCAACAUACUGCAGCACGAUCUUUGUGUCCCGAGUUAGCAAGCUUGUUGGCCAUGAAACCUUGAUUAACAAAUCUUUAAACAAAAUCUUUACAACCUCAAGUUCUGUUUAAAUACGCUCUUUAUUGUUCUAUAUUAUCGUUAAUAAAUAGGACCCACGCAA